UGUUGAGUGACAGGAGAGGCGGUAGCUUGUGCGGGGCUAUAGGGGCUAAUAGAGUGGUGACUGGAAGUGGGGGAAGUGAACAAUGUACCAACCCUUAGAGAAGAGUCCUGGUUUGGAGCGGUGGAAUACAUAGCCCGAUAUGCUGCUUGUCGGGGACGAGGUUCUGGAAGAUCCCACACGAGGUGACGCGUUUCUGGUAGCCAGUUUCUGUUACGUUCGAAGCGCAUUGAGAUGCGCGGAGGUGUCAACUCAAGAUGCAGGGGACCAGACAAGCAAGUUAGCAGGUGUGUUGACGCCAGUCUCUGAGGGAAGUCACGGCAGCUGCAUGGACGGCGCAAGCUCCGCUGAUCUCCGCUGAUCUCCGGCAGGAACAGACAUCCACGUUGUUCCUCCCAUCGAUGUGCUCUGGAUCAAAGGAAAAGAAGGGCAGCACGGAGGUACAGGGGUUAGUGCGUCUGCCUCACAAUACGAAGGUCCUGAGUAGUCCUGAGUUCAAUCCCAGGCUUGGGAUAUUUCUGUGUGGAGUUUGCAUGUCCUACCCGCUGCUGCGCUGGUUCCCUCCAGGUACUCCGGCUUCCUCCCACUUCCAAAGACAUGCACCUGGGGAUAGGUUGAUUGGCAACACUAAAUUGGCCCUAGUGUGUGAAUGUGAGUGUGAAUGUUGUCUGUCUAUCUGUGUUGGCCCUGCGAUGAGGUGGCGACUUUUCCAGGGUGUACAACGCCUUCCGCCCGAUUGUAGCUGAGAUAGGCCCCAGCGACCCCAAAGGGAAUGAGCGGUACAAAAUGGAUGGACUGAUAUUCUACUCUUUUAGUAGUAAAUAAACAAACAAAGGCUCCUAAUAUGGCUGCUGAUGAAUGAUGUAACAUAUUGUGUCAUCCAUCCAUCCAUUUCUACCGCAUAUUCCCUUUUUUGGGGGGGUAGCGGGGAGCGCUGGUGCCUAUCUCAGCUACAAUCGGGCUGAAGGCGGGGUACACCCUGGACAAGUCACCACCUCAUCGCAGGGCCAACACAGAUAGACAGACAACAUUCACACUCACAUUUAUUUCCCAUUCCAUUGUUUCUGUCAAACUUAUGUGGGACAAGCGGUAAAAAAAAAGGAUUAUUAAUGUACUUGUUCAUUUACUGUUAAUAUCUGUUAAAUUUUAUAAGCCCCCAUUCAUUUGUUUUUUGGAUAUUUUACAUUAGUUGUAAGUGAUACUACACGUUUUGGUCUCAACCCAAAGCCAAGUAGUUACAGGAUCAUACAAUGGUCAUAAUUAAUGUUCUCCUAAGUUCAGGGACAUAUUUCCGGACUGUAAAAACAAUUUAAAAAAUGACAAAAUAUUUUAUGAUAAUAAAAAAUAUCAAUGUAAACAUUGUAGUAUCGACUAGAUAUGGCUCCUGUCCUUGAUAUUGUUACAGUCAAUGAAUGUAUAUAUCCAUCCAUUUGUUUACAUUGAGGAGCACCAGCUUGUUGUUAGCAUUUAGCUAUUGUAUUUUCCUUACGGGGUGCAGUGAAGCAUGUUUAGCUAUCCUUUUGCCUGCAUAGAGGAUACUUGUAAGAAAUGUACUUUUUUUGUUGUCAUUGAGGCGAGUAUUUGUGAUUUAGAAGUAGCUAAAACACUGCCGACUGCGGAUGAACGUUAGCUGCUAUAUUUUAAAGCGCUUCUUGCAGCACGGCGGUUCAGUGUUUAUAGCUUUACAUCUGUUCGUAAGUGCAAGGUAUGUGUGCUGCAACAAUGCGCCGUAAUGUUCGUUAAAAAACAAAAACAAAAAAAAACACUGGCAUUUUUCAGCUGUAUUAUUGUACUGUUGUUAUUUCAUCAGUACCACGGUGCUUUAUUAGUACCGGUCCACCGUACAACCCUAGUUCAGAUUGGCUCCAAAAACAAAUCCUGUCAUGGCGGAGGGAACUGUUAAAUAAAAUAAUUCAGGUACAUUUAAGCACAGAUGAGUCCUCUCCUACGUCAGCACCAUUGAUGAGCUCCCUUUGUGCAUGGGCUUUUAGGAAAUGAAGGAAGACCAAACCCUACAUUACUCUACAUUUCCCCUUCAAUUUGUAGCAUGUGAGAAGAUUUCCUUCCUGUAGCUCUCACUGUCUGGGAGUAACCGAAUCCUCAAAGGCCUUUUGACACGCAAUACCGCCAUUAAAAAAAUAUGCACCUGUUGCUUUGGGGAGCCGUUUGCAUGGGUGGCUCUGUGUGCUUUAUCUUUGGGGAUUUACAGAGAUCAAAGAGAUUUUCAGGGGUUAAAGUGGAAAUGUAAAAAUGAAUUGUUUCCUUGUAAAUGUUUGUGUUUUUUAUUUCUGCUUGUGUGCAGAUAUUGCCCCAAAGGAUUAUUUACCUCUACAGCACCAGCAGAGGUGGGUAGAGUAGCCAGAUUUUGUACACAAAUAAGAGUACUGUUACUUUAGAGAUGUAUUACUCAAGUAAACGUAAGGAUAAGUCACCCAAAUAUUUACUUGACAAAAAGUAAAAAGUAUGUUGUGAAAAAACUACUCAAGUACUGAGUAACUGAUGAGUAACAUGUUUGUUUAAUGACGGCAACAAGUAAUGCACAAAAACAUAAAAUAGCAAUGAACAAAUUCAGAGCCAGGAAUAUCUCUUAAGCAGCUAAAACAAUAAUAUACAUUAAAUAAUAUAUAAUUGGUUUUACAAUGUAUUGAAAAAAACUUUGAAAAUGAAUUUUACCUUUGCAACCUCAUUAUACUAUUGGCUAAGUUUUAUAUUCAUAAAUCAGUACCGACUACAAACCCCGUUGAAUUGGGAAAUUGUGUUAGAUGUAAAUAUAAACGGAAUACAAUUAUUUGCAAAUCCUUUUCAACCCGUAUUCAAUUGAAUGCACUACAAAGACAAGAUAUUUGAUGUUCAAACUCAUAAACUUUAUUUUUUUUGCAAAUAAUAAUUAACUUAGAAUUUUCUUGGCUACAACAUGUGCCAAAUUAGUUGGAAAAGGGCAUGUUCACCACUGUGUUACAUCACCUUUUCUUCUAACAACACUCAAUAAACGAAUGGGAACUGAGGAAACUAAUUGUUGAAGCUUUGAAAGUGGAAUUCUUUACCAUUCUUUUUUGAUGUACAGCUUAAGUUGUUCAACAGUCCGGGGUCUUGUUUUCGUAUUUUACGCUUCAUAAAGCGCCACACAUUUUCGAUGGGAGACAUGUCUGGACUGCAGGCGGGGCAGAAAAAUACCCGCACUCUUUUACUAUGAAGCCAUGCUGUUGUAACACAUGGCUUGGCAUUAUUUUGCUGAAAUAAGCAGGGGCGUCCAUGAUAACAUUGCUUGGAUGACAACAUAUGUUGCUCCAAAACCUGUAUGGACCUUUCAACAUUAAUGGUGCCUUCACAGAUGUGUAAGUUACCCAUGCCUUGGGCACUAAUACACCCCGAUACCAUCACACAUGCUGGCUUUUGAACUUUGCGCCUAUAACAAUCCGAAUGGUUAUUUUCCUCUUUGUUCUGGAGGACACCACGUCCACAGUUUCCAAAUAUAAUUUGAUAUGUGGACUCGUCAGACCAAAGAACACUUUUCCACUUUGCAUCAGUCGAUCUUAGAUGAGCUCGGGCCCAGCGAAGCCGGCGGCCUUCCUGGGUCUUGUUGAUAAAUGGCUUUCGCUUUGCAUAGUAGAGUUUUAACUUGCACUUACAGAUGUAGCGACAAACUGUAGUUACUGACAGUGGUUUUUUGAAGGGUUCCUGAGCCCAUGUGGUGACAUCCUUUACACACUGAUGUCGGUGUUUGAUGCAGUACCGCCUGAGGGAUCAAAGGUCCAGGAUUUCAUCGCUAACGUGCAGUGAUUUCUCCAGAUUUGCUGAACUUUUUGAUGAUUUUACGGACCGUAGAUGGUAAAAUCCCUAGAUUCCUUGCAAUAGCUCAUUGAGAAAUGUUGUUCUAAAACUUUUCGACAAUUUGCUUACAAGUUGGUGACCCUCGCCCCAUCCUUGUUUGUGAAUUACUUAACAUUUCAUUGAAGCUGCUUUUAUACCCAAUCAUGGCACCCACCUGUUUCCAAAUAGCCUGCACACCUGUGGGAUGUUCCAAAUAAGUGUUUGAUGAGCAUUCCUCGACUUUAUCAGUAUUUAUUGCCACCUUUCCCAACUUCUUUGUCACGUGUUGCUGGCAUCAAAUUCUAAAGUUAAUGAUUAUUUGCAAAAAAGAAAGUUUAUCAGUUUUAACAUUAAAUAUGCUGUCUUUGUAGCAUAUUCAACUGAAUAUGGGUUGAAAAUGAUUUGCAAAACAUUGUAUUCCGUUUAUAUUUACAUCUAACACAAUUUCCCAACUCAUAUGGAAACGGGGUUUGUAUAUUACUCAAGGGGGCGUGGCUACAGGACAGUGUUUGCAAUUGGAAAUAUUUCCUAAGUUCUUUGCAUGCAUGACAUCGAAUUUUACAUUACAUUAUUAAUGAUAAUAAGGCUAGUGAAUAAUUAAAUGGAUAAAUAAAAAAAUUAUGUGGUACAUUACAUGGGAUAUGUAACGUGUCAAAAAGACGGCCCAAAGAUGUUGGUGAAGAUAAAAUAUAGUGUAGAUAUACUGUAAAUGCAACCAAUUGCAGUAAAUGUAAUCUUUGUAUUUAAAUAGUUUCUCUAGGGCUUGUGUGGCUGUACUGAGUGUUGAUAAAAACGUUCCUCUUUUUUUUUUCAGUUUCCUCUUUUUUUCUUGAUGGUUGCCUGUACCUCUACUAAGUAGAACCAGGAACCUGUUAUUAAAUUAAGCACAUAAUUGUGGUCACAGAAGCCGCGAUAUGAAAUGUUUAUAUUGUUGCAUCCAUAAUGUAUAAUAAUACAUAUUGUAUGUGAAAAAUUAUAUAUUGAUAUAUGUAAUAUGUAAAUAUCAGUCUAUUAUUUUUUUUUUCUCUCUUUCUCUCCAACUCAACCCAACCUGUCGAGGCAGCUGUCUUCAAUUUGUUAUGCUAAAAUUGAUCAUUAAAAAAAUCCAGGCUUUCCCAACCCAUAAAACACCCUCCACAACUGGGAAGACAUGCUUUAAAGCAGUGGUUCUCAGAUGGAGGUACGCGUACCCCUGGGGGUACUUGAAGUUAUGCUAAGGGGUACGUGAGAUUUUUCAAAGAUAUUCUAAAUAUAACAACAAUUCAAAAAUCAUUUAUAAAUAUAUUUAUUGAAUAAUACUUCAACAAAAUAUGAAUGUAAGUUCAUAAAAUGUGAAAAGAAAUGCAACAAAGCAAUAUUCAGUGUUGACAGCUAGAUUUCUUUGUGGACGUGUUCCAUUAAUAUUGAUGUUAAAAAACUAAAAAAAAAAGAUUUCUUUUUUUGUGAGGAAAUGUUUAGAAUUAAGUCCAUGAAUCCAGAUGGAUCUCUAUUACAAUCCCCAAAGAGGGCCAUUUAAGUUGAUGAUUACUUCUAUGUGUAGAAAUCUUUAUUUAUUAUUGAAUCACUUGUUUAUUUUUCAACAAGUUUUUAGUUAUUUUUAUAUAUUUUUUUCCAAAUAGUUCAAGAAAGACUACUACAAAUGAGCAAUAGUUUGCACUAUUAUAUUUUGCUCUGAUUAGGGCAUGGGUGUCAAACUCUGGCCCGCGGGCCGAAUCUGCCCCACCCUGUAAUUUAAUUUGGCCCUUGAGGCAAUAUCAAUUUAGCAUUAGAGCUGGCCCGCCGGUGUUAUACAGCGUCGGUGCCGCUGUAACACCGCAUUCACCGCUAAUACUCAUACUUGCCAACCCUCCUAAUUUUCCCAGUAGACUCCCGAAGUUCAGUGCCCCUCCCGAAAAUCUCCCGGGGCAACCAUUCUCCUGAAUUUCUAUCGAUUUCCACCUGGACAACUAUAUUGGGGGCCUGCAUUUAAGGCACUGCCUUUAGCGUUCUCUACAACCUGUCGUCACGUCCGCUUUUCCUCCAUACUAACAGCGUGUCACAUAGUAUUUGUGGCUUACACACACACACACACACACACACACACACACACACACGCACAAGUGAAUGCAAGGCGUACUUGGUCAACAGCCAUACAGGUCACACUGAGGGUGGCCGUAUAAACAACUUUAGCACUGUUACAAAUAUGCGCCACACUGUGAACCCACACCAAACAAGAAUGACAAACACAUUUCGGGUGAACAUCCGCACCGUAACACAACAGAACAUAUACCCAGAAACCCUUGCCGCACUAACUCUUCCGGGAAACUUCCAGCAAACUGACCAAUAAUUUACGUUUUAUUCACGCAUUUUUCUUGCUACUUAAAGGCUUGAAUGUUUGGUUCAUUCAUUAUUGUUAUUUUAUUUUCAAAUGUAUUAUUAGCCUGUGGAAAACAAUUUAUAUUUACCUCAGAAGAUUGCAAAUGGAAAAAAAGGCAUAACAUUUUUAUUUACAUUUUACCUGAUAUGCCAUUGAUAUUUUUUCAUUAUUAUUAUUUGAAACGUGAUUUUGCAUGUCACUAAAGUUAUGUAAGCCUUGCUUGUUCAAUAUUUAAUGCAAAACUUGUUUGGGUCCCUAUUAAAAGGUUAAUUUGUUCAACCUUGGCCCGCGGCUUUGUUCCAUUUAAAAUUUUGGCCCACUCUGUAUUUCAGUUUGACACCCCUGGAUUAGGGGGUACUUGAAUUAAAAAAAUGUUCACAGGGGGUACAUCACUGAAAAUAGGUUAAGAACCACUGCUUUAAACUACUAGUAGAACUGAAAAACAAAUUGACUUUACCGUAUGCUUAAUUGUGUUUCAUUGUAUCUGUUAAAUCAUCCAUCCCUU